GGGAACUGAAAGUACUUUCUGCUGAGGUAGGCUGUAGUCUGUGUGCGAGCCAGGGACAGGAACCUGACAGCACUGUCCAUACUGUCCACACCGCAAACACCUUUCCACUCUCCCGGAGAAUCUCAGGAUAAAGCCUGAGUGGCCCAUUUCACUGGUAAGAAGUGAGGCUCAGAAGAGGCCGGCAGUGAGUGGGUGGGGCCUCUGGUUAGGGACAGUCUAGGCUCUUGGCUCUGUUAUCGGCAAUCUUUUUCUUCACCCAUUUCUCAACCUUCGUCAGGCCGCUACCAGUUUUGUUGCCUCGGGGUUCAUUUCAGGUGCCUGUAUGUGACUCCCGGACCUUGGCACUCGUACCAACCCCACUGCAGACCCAGCACCAGUACCCCAAAGGCAGACUCCUUGACGACUGUCCUCAUCCUUGCUAAUGGCAUUUGCAAAGACCUGCUUUAUAAAUGGAGGCAGGGAGGAGGGCUGUUCACACAGAGGUCCUAGGGGUGAGGCUUCCAUGUAUCUGUCUGAAGGGGCAGUUCUACCCAUGACCCCAUGAUGGUUCUGGCUCUUCAUGUUGGCCCAAUUUCAUCUCAUUCAAUUCUCCUCGGAAAGGAGGGACUACCACCAUCUUUGUUUUUCAGGUUAGGAAACUGAGGCUAAGAGAACUGACUGUUUUCCCACCUAGUCACAGUUCAGCUGGUAUGCCCCAGCACUGGGAAACAAAAGCAGAGCCCUAAUCCUAACAUAUCUCUAUUCAACAGUGUGGGCACUCUCAGGAUUAGACUCUUCUGCGGUAACUGAUAAAUACAGCAACAGUGUUUCCACGGACUGUUAAUCUUAGCUGAAGAGGACUAUUCAAAGUUAAGAUACAAUGUUACUAGUUGUGAGAAAUGUAAUAAAAAGAAACAAAUAGGCAAA